AAUUGUCAAGAUUUUUGCUACAUUUUUGGUGUAGAUUUUAGGGACAUUAAUGUAGUGCUAAUGCCUUCCGUGCAGGUUAUUCAGUCAACACAUAUUCUGUCUUUUGGCAUGUGUAUGCUUGCUCUUGUGCUCAUGUUGUAAUCGUGACCUGUAAUCAGUCCAUGAUCCUUGUGUGACCAGAAGUUGGGCAUAACUGCAUUGUUACUGAGAAGAUGUGAAUAUUAACUUAGGGAUCGGAGCUGAAGCUCUAGCCGAUAGCAAAGAUAUGAAGUCUGUGCUCUGUCUUAUGUUUGCAAGUAUAUUGAUGUAACUUCACAUCUUGAAUGGAGUCACUCCUAUGUGUACUGCCGCUGUAAUUACACAACAUGAAUUUUCCGUUUUUGUGAUCAGAAAUUUUGCCAAGAAACUUGUUGGAUUAACUACGAUUUUGUCCUAUUUACUACUAGCAUUUAUUCUUAUCUCUCAACAUAUUCUUGCCCCUAUCUAGGACAGUCGGAAGAAGAGAGCUUCGACUGGGAAACAGCGUGUUGAAGCAAUACCUCUUGUUGAACCACCCAAAACCAAAGAAGCCUCUUAGAUUGCGAGAGGCCUGUUGUGUUUAGUAAGAAACUUGGCGUAAAAUAUCCAAAAUAUCAGGAACACUAUGUAUUGGGCAGACCUGAAAUACUAAUAUAAGUGUAUCCAAUUUUUCCUACGAUUCCCUUCCUCGCCCAUGGACGUGGACCACGUCUUUGGCUUUGCAAGUCCAAGGCUCCAAGCUAGGCGUUAUUUUUCAUAAAGUUUCUAUCGAUUUCUAAUCAAAAUAUUUCUAUUAGCGUAACCCUACCUGGCGACCUCCAUCAGCCGGAGGUAUUCCUGGAGUCAAGGCAAGCAUGUUGACCAAUUGACGUAAAUGUGCAAUGUAAAUUUACCUCGGCACUUUGUUUUUGAAUGUGAUGGCGUUGUCUGAUACGUCUCCUCUGCACCAUAAAUUUACGUAGGAUUAGAUUAAUGUUAAAAGGCCCGUAGCAACGCACGGGCAUUGUACUAGUAGAAGUAGGAGCCCACCACAUCUAUGAUGAUACCGGGUUUUGUCACAAUUAUCGUCAUAGAAGUGUCAUAUGUAUGACAGAAAAAAAUUCGUUCGGCCCAAAAUGUCACGGAUGUGUCUUUUUUUGUAGUGAGAAGCGGAAUUCAACGAAGUCAUGAUGGUUCCUUCGUCUGAGCAACUUCAAAGUGGGAAGUGGGCCUGUGAUUUGACGGCUCAUUAGUCAUUGUUACUGUGGUGCGACGACCUGGGUGACUCUCCCUUGGAGUUCUGCGUGCAUGGCAAGUGGACCAGGAUGGUCGACGUCCCACAUGUUGACGAACGGAAGUAUUCUUUCCGAUAUCGAGGAGCAAGGAAACCGCGUGGUAUAGUAUCACUGCUGAUUGGUUCGCAAAAAAAUAGUAUCACUGCCGAUUUAUAAUUAUUUUUUAUUUCUGAUCAAUGCUAGCGUUUCAACUCUUACGACGAAGGGUGCCAAACACGGCACGUGCUGGAUGUCCCACACGCCAGCGAAAGGAGUGGGACAUGAACAGCGUGGUAGAGCCCAGCGUAAAAAAACAGCGUGGUAGAGCGUCUCCACUUCUUCCACUUCUGGGUCGGAGACCACACGUAGUAGUACUUAGUGGUAUGAACGAUACAAAGUGCAACCUGGAGAGAAAGACACGUCUAGUUGGAAGGUCUCGGGGCAUACACAUAGACAAAUAUAAAAGUUAAUAUGUGCGUCCAACUAAUAUAGUAGUAGUAGAGUACUUAGGCACGUACUCCAUAACAUCACCGUGCAUUGCACGUACAACAUUUAGUGGUAGUACGUAGUAAGAGACAAAUGCCGCCCAAGAGUUCCCUUCUCAACCUACUUUUGGGUGUUUGGUAGAGUGUAUGGAGGGUGCAUGAGUUCACACUGGUUUAGCACACUGGUUUAGCACAAAUACACUAGAAGCAUGCAUGAAGAGAGCAUGCAUGAAGAGGGGUGUUGAGUUGAGCAUGCAUGAAGAGGGAACAACUAUGCUGAGACGAGAACGCAACCAAACCCACCCUAUAUGCCACGCAUGUUCAUACCAUUUGUGCCUUUCUACUUCACUUACUACGCUACAUUACUCAGGUUCGUACGUCCACUCCUGGGUACAUGUCCGUCUCGUAGUUCCAGUCCCACGUGUUCUUCAUAUAGAUGGAACUAUCCUUGCAUAACACGUGCACCUUGAUGCUAGAUGUCUCGCGUGUUGGCAAAAGGAUGAACAAAGCUCACGUAAAAAAAUAGAGUGGAAGAACAUAGAUUCCGGACGACCGAGAAGGAGCAAGGAACCUCGUGGUGGAGCCUCUGCACUCAUAAUAUUUAAUAUUAUUCAGCGAUAUAAAAUUAACCAAUCAUCUCCAAAGUGGACUGGAAGAGUACGAAACACGGCAGCCCAGUGUAGUUACAUCAUACUAGUACAUGGCUAACCCACGCUAUCACCAUAUUUCUUGGCUUCCGUGCGACACCUAUCUCUAGUAAUCCAGCAGCCUGUAUCGCUUCUCCCUCCUCGUCUCUAUCAAAGUGCGGCGGGCUGGCGUUUCUGCCGUCUAUUGAGGUCGGUUAACUAUCACAUGUUAGCGACAUGCCAAGAGCAUUCAAAAAAAUUCCUUUCACGUUCCGUUUUCAAAAACAAAAAAAUCCUUUCACGUAUGAAUUUGCCUGUAUGCUUUGAGCAACUUGCAUGUCCUAUACUGCUCCUGUUUGAUACUCUAACUUAGCUGGAGGUUAGACUAACUCAUGACUAACCCUGAACUAACUGUAGCCAAAGAGGUGUUUGGGUGACAGGGUUAGAUUGACAAUAAAUGCACUUCAUGGAGAGAGAAAAGUGAUUUUUUAGUGGUCCCAAUGAGAACUAUCUCCAGUUAGCACCUCUUGGGUGGGAUAGUUUUUUUUGGUUGGUUCGGUGCAACUUGCUCCAAUUUAAACCCUCAUGCUUGGAUACUUUAGGGCUAUUUGAGCCCCAACUAGCUCAAACUAACUCUAACCCAUGGAUCCAAACAGGGCCUAUGGCCAGUCUCGACGCAGACCAGUCGCGUGCACCGGGAAGCGGCGCUCUCUCGGCCGUCGCGCCACUUCAAAGCCGACGCCAGUGAGAGGUCGCCUCCGCUCUGGCCGGGCAUUAAUGCGGCACUGACGCUCCAGGGCGACACUGACCGUUUCACGCGGGAAGCACGCGCUGGCAAGGGAGUAUAGGUUUUGAACCGUUUCAGGUGUAGUACUGGUAGUUUGCAAAACUACACAAUUAUUGCACUCAGUUUCCUAAGAAAUUGUGGUAAAAAAUGUUACUCCAUAGCCCGCUUCCCUUCUCCUUCCUCUUCCACCGCCCGCGCACGUCCGCGGGAAGCGACCGGUCAACCCUUAUAUAGGAGUGCUAGCACAAAAAGAUGCAUGCAUGACCACUAAAAUUUCCAUAUUAAAGCGCCGCUCCGGCGGGAGUAUGGCGUAUGUUGUUACCUUCGGCCGGCCCAUUGCUACCGGGCGACGGCGACCAGAGAAGAGGCGGCGGGAGGGGAAUGAAUGCAGCUACUGUUUGGGUUCGCCUUCCGGCUUAAAUAAAUGCGCAGCAUCACGUGUACCCGCGGGUGCACAAAUUGUAACAUACGUGUCUGCUUAAGUGGGCGUCACGUAACUGGUGUGUGUGUGAGAGAGAUUCUAAGAGACAGAGUGCGUGUGUGCAACUCUACUCUUCGGACAUGUACUCAACCUUUUGCAUCGGGAUAUAAGUAUAAUGUUAUUUACUUUAGGUAGUGAUUUACGUGGCCAUGUUAACGUGGUUGUGUCAAAAAAAUGUCACUUCCUGCUCGUGAUUUGCGUUAUAUAAUUACAAGCAAGAUUCUCGUGCAUUGCACGGAACAUCAAUAUGCAUUUUUUUUACAGAACACCUGUUGUGAUUGACCCAUGCAGGAGUAAUCCCAUGUGUAAAAACUAAUGAUAUCUCGAGAAUUUUAUCGGAAAACUGGUAUCUCGAGAAUGUCAUCGAAAAAAUGAAAGAUGAGAGAUAAGGCGAGGAGGAGUGGAGCGUGGUGGUGACUGGUGGUCGGAAUGGGCGGAGGCAUGGGGAUGGACGGCGCCGGCAGGCGGCAGCGGCCACCAUGCAUGCUAGAUUGUUCCAGAGACUUAUUCCUUUUUUAAUUGCUGAGCAAUGAGGUUGCGGGAGAUAAUGAUGUGGAGAGAGGUGCGGGUAUCUUUUGUAAAAUUAUCAUAGUUUGCUUUCUAUCCUCAGAUUAGAUCAUACGGUCUGUAUUACAAGAUGGCAGGCACACCAUCACCGCCAACUCGUUUUUUUAUAAGGGUACAGAUGAUAAGUUUGCUGACUACUAAAGUAAAGUGGAAUUUGUCCAUGUUAUGCAAGUAAAUAAAGGUGAUUGUUUAUCAUACGGGUAAGGUUGGAUGAAGGGUGGUAGGAACAAAUGCUCCGCCUAGAGCAUGUGUGUGUGAGAUGGAGUCUUAGUGUGUGUGUGGGGUGUGUGUGUGAGAGAGAGAGAGGAGAGAGAGAGAUGGAGUCUUAGUUUGUGUGUGUGUGAGAGAGAGAGAGAGAGAUGGAGUCCUAGUGUGUGUGGGGGGUGUGCGUGCGUGCGUGUGUGUGUGUGUUUGUGUGUGUGUGAGAGAGAGAGAUGGAGUCUUAGUGUGCGUGUGUGGGGGGUGCGNNNNNNNNNNNNNNNNNNNNNNNNNNNNNNNNNNNNNNNNNNNNNNNNNNNNNNNNNNNNNNNNNNNNNNNNNNNNNNNNNNNNNNNNNNNNNNNNNNNNNNNNNNNNNNNNNNNNNNNNNNNNNNNNNNNNNNNNNNNNNNNNNNNNNNNNNNNNNNNNNNNNNNNNNNNNNNNNNNNNNNNNNNNNNNNNNNNNNNNNNNNNNNNNNNNNNNNNNNNNNNNNNNNNNNNNNNNNNNNNNNNNNNNNNNNNNNNNNNNNNNNNNNNNNNNNNNNNNNNNNNNNNNUGCAUGGCUUCAUCAUAGAGAGGUGAUGUGUAUGGCAGAGGCCACCAACGAUGGGGUGCGAGAGAGAAAAUGCACGUAGAGAGGGAAGAGAAGGUGUGUGCGCGUGAGAGGAGUCGACAUUGAGAGAACGUGUUUGUUCGAGAGACACCGAGGAAGACUACUAUAUAUCGAUGGUGCAUGUAGGCGGGAAUUAAACAAAGGGAUGGUCUUAUUGGUUUCGGGGAUAUAUGGGAAGAGUGAGAGGCGGGGGGGUAGCUAGAAGGAGAUUGUUAAGUGUGAGUGUGUGUUUUACCCAUCCAGGCGGAAGUUAUGUGCACAACAGAGGAGAACGAUUUGAUGUGGCGUUAGGAUUGAGGGUAAUUAAACGUAUGGAGACAUAGAGACCUUGAACGUGCAUGUGUGAGAGGUAUACAUGUAUACGUGGGAUGUGUGUGUGUGCACGCGCGCAUGAUCGAGAUAAAAGAAAGAAGACAUAAGUCAUAAGAUCAACGACAUGGGAGAGACGGAUCGGUAUGACAAUAUGCAUGCAUGUGAGAAUGCAGGGAAGAAGGCCCGACAAUUGAGCAUGUGUUUUUGUCUUUAAGAGAUAGUGGCGUGGGCUGGAGCAUGCAUCUAUGGCGAGCAGAGGGAGUGAGGCGCAACGAUUGUGCAAAAGAGACCAACCUAUAAAUGCAUAUGUAUGGAGAGACAUAUAUAGUGUGGGUGAUAGGAAGCAAGACUCCGUGCGAGAAAUAAAUGUUGACGGAGAAACUACAGAUAGAUACAGAGAUGGAGAUGCUAGCUAGAGGGACAUCCGCUAGUUUGGGUGUUGGAGAUGACCGUCGGGUGGUUCAAAGGGUGAAGUUAUAUAUGUGUGUGAGAGGGCACUUGACUGCAUGUAGAGAGAAACAUAUGUAGUGUGCGUGAUAGGAAUCAAGAGUGAGGGCGAGAAAGAAGGUUGAUCGAGAAACAGAUAAAUAGAAAGAUAAAGAUGCUAGCUAGUGUGCGUUAGAGAUAGGAGUCGAGUGGAUCAGAAGGCUGGGUUAUGUGUGUGGGUGUGAGAGAGAUAGAGAGAGGGUGCAUGUGAGUCACAUAUAAACAGAUAUCAGGGAGAAAUGAGAUCCAGAGAGACGGAGUUUUGUGUCUGCGAGAGAGAAAGAUAUUUCACAACGAGAGUGAUAGCUAGAGAGACAUAUGAGGGAACGCAAGAUAUCUCUAGGGAGAGAGGGUGUGUGUGAGCGACAUACAAGAGAACAAUGGAGAAAUAUGAGACCCUCGGAGACAGAGUUUGUGUUUGUGUGUGAGAAAGAGAUAUUGAAGAGGAAGAGUCGUAGGUUCUCAUAUCUAAGGAGCGAAAGACAUCUGUGUAUGAGGGGUGUGCGAGUGGCACACAUGGGAAUAGUAGAGAGAAAUGAGACCCCGAGAGACAAAGUUUUGUGUUUGUGUGAGAGAAAGAGAUUCCACAUGGAGAAUCAUAGUUAGAGACACAUAGCAGGGAGCGAGAUAUACUUAGAGAGAGAUAGAGUGAUGAAGGUCGAGGGAGAGAGUACCGUCAGUGUGUUACGAAGAUAAAAGAUCAUUGUCGACAUACAGGUAGCACGAGAGAUACCUGAGAGACGAUGAACGCGUAUAGGUCCAGAGAGAUAGUCCUAUAUAAGCAUGAGUGAUAGCUAUAUGAGACGAAUAUCUGGAUUAAAGGGGAUUCAAAUAUUUAAACUGGAGAUCACGACAUCGAUAAUAUCAUAACGCAAAUUGGUGUAUCAAACAUGCAUAUUCAUUUGAAUUUGGGCACACGUGUAAUGUUAUAUAGUUUAUCAAUAUUGGUGAUCCAUAGAUUCUUCAAUUACAAACAAUGCAUGGUUUAUAUGCAAUUAAUUUCUAAACAGGAUUACACUAUAUGUUGCGUGUGUGAAACACAUUAUACAUGUUUGAGAAGCAAAAAAAACCGCAUGAAACACAAAUUAAUUGGAGACAGUUAGCGAGGAAUGCAUACAUUGGAUUUCAACAUAAAGUGGUUUUAAAUAUUUGAAAAUCCAAAUUGAUGGAUACAACCUUAUGAAUAUGAGAUCAUGCCAUUUGUAAACCAUAUUUAUGUAUAACUAGUGUUGUG
rnacentral:lncRNA from 1 species